GAUGAACGCUGGCGGCGUGCCUAAUACAUGCAAGUCGAGCGAACGGACGAGAAGCUUGCUUCUCUGAUGUUAGCGGCGGACGGGUGAGUAACACGUGGAUAACCUACCUAUAAGACUGGGAUAACUUCGGGAAACCGGAGCUAAUACCGGAUAAUAUUUUGAACCGCAUGGUUCAAAAGUGAAAGACGGUCUUGCUGUCACUUAUAGAUGGAUCCGCGCUGCAUUAGCUAGUUGGUAAGGUAACGGCUUACCAAGGCAACGAUGCAUAGCCGACCUGAGAGGGUGAUCGGCCACCCUGGAACUGAGACACGGUCCAGACUCCUACGGGAGGCAGCAGUAGGGAAUCUUCCGCAAUGGGCGAAAGCCUGACGGUGCAACGCCGCGUGAGUGAUGAAGGUCUUCGGAUCGUAAAACUCUGUUAUUAGGGAAGAACAUAUGUGUAAGUAACUGUGCACAUCUUGACGGUACCUAAUCAGAAAGCCACGGCUAACUACGUG
rnacentral:rRNA from 1 species